AUAGCUGGCCCUACAGUAUAUUACCGCUGCAGAAGGAGAAAUUGUAAAGGCAGAGGUAAGUUAGUAGGUAGUGUAUUUGAAGUGACACAAAAUCAUCUAACAGCUGAAGAUAAAGAUUCUCAGUGUAGUAUAGAUCAGAAUAUUAGCCAACCCAGUAGCUCAUCUACUAAUACAACCCAACAACAACCACAACAUAUACAGCCCCAAAUAUUACAACCAAAUACUAGAGAUAACUUUUACCCUCCAAAUUCAAGUA